rnacentral:lncRNA from 1 species
AAAGUGCCCACUGAAGAUAAGAAGCCAUUUUCUAUGGAUCCACUGAUCAUCAUCUUCUCAAACCAGAAGGCUCGUUCCUACAAGCACAUCUGAGUCCUGCAAGCAGGUAAUUUGUGUUUAACUAUAUAUAUUUUUGUAUAACAUUUAUAAUUUUUAAAUUAAAUUUU